UCGCCCAGAAUAAGAAAACGGAGAUUGAAAAGAGCGAGAAAUUGGCAUCAUCAGCAAAAAGAGUGAACAUUGGAGCUGCUUGGACACACCAAAUCCCAACUAGGUAAUUAUCCUCCGGACUGCUGCAGUCUCCUUUUUUCCGUGCACCAACAUCUAUAUACUGUCUAUGCACCAACUAUGCACCAACCUCUAUAUCCCAGUAAGCACACAUACGUCGGCACGACGUAUGCAAUUGAUCGCUUCGUCUGCAAUUGAUCGCGGGUCAUAAAGAAGAAUAACGAAGCAUCGUUUAUUGAGCGUCUGGACGUCUUAUGAUCGCAAUCUAUACAUCGCAGCGACGUAUUAACUAUGUCAGUGAGAUGUAUUAAAAGUUACUCAGUUGUUCACGUGUCAUUUGGAAGCAUCGUUUAUUGAGCGUCUGGACGUCUUAUUAUGAUCGCAAUCUAUACAUCGCAGCGACAUAACUAUGUCGGUGAGAUGUAUUAACGGUUCCUCAGUUGUUUGCGGGUCAUUUGGAAGCAUCGUUUAUUGAGCGUCUGGAUGUCUUUACUGUACACACACACUGUUGAUGUGAUGGACAGUGAAUCUGAAUUCUGCCCAGCAACAUAUUCGCGCCACAGUCGAUAAAGGAAGGGCAAAAAAAAGUUGCCAGUCUACGAAGGGUUAGGAUGGAGACUGCUUCUUUGCUGCUGUCAAAUACCAUGUGGAAGAUCAGAAAACGUCGGCAGGAGGUGGGAGAGAAGGCAAUGCAGAGAUGAAGGACAUCAUACCACAAUAAUAGUUGUGUGUAUAAGCCUGAUCAACAAGUGAAAAGAGUCAGAUAAGAGGAAAGAGUUUGAAAACUGAUUUGAUGACCACUUAUAAUCAACACUGCUCCAAGUAGACCACACGCACCCUAUCUGACAAUUUACUCACGUGCAACAUCAAUGUACACCUUUUUUAUGCAAUAUCAAUAACUCCUCUGUGCAAUACUGUGAAUACCGUAUUAUUAAACCUUCUGUCUGUAUACUGAACAGUUUUAACUGCUUUAUUCUUGCGUUUUUACUGAUGCUUUUGUCAUUGCACUUUCCUUCUGGUGCAGUAUCACUGAAAAUGUCCUCCACUGUGGGAUUAAUU